UUGGACCUCGUGGUCCUAAAAAGCUCACUCCUGAGAAGACUCGAACUCCUACUCACUGUAUACUCCAUACAUGAUGCUUGACAGACUAGACUGGGAUAUAUGUCUAAAACCAUGCUAAAACCUUCACUGGUCUUCACAAUCUGUGUGCAGCCAUAGAUAUAUAUAGUGUCACAGUCUGCCGAAUAUUGACAAAGAGCAGCUAGGGAGACCUAGAUCUAUAAUUAUGCAUCGCCUCAACACAGUGCCUUCUUAUCAGAGAUUAUCACCAAGCAAAGAUCCGGUUGCAAUAUCACGUACUUUUUUGAGGCUCAAGCUCCAUCUUCAACCUGGUGUGGAUGCACAAUUAUAAUGAGGUUUGAGUAAUUAGAUGGGAGGGGGCGGGGUUUUAUCCUGAUCUGGGCCUAUUAGAACCAGAGGAGGUACGACAGGCGUGGUGCAGCUCAAGUUUAUUAGCCUUUGAUUGAGCAAUAAUUAUCCGCCCACGUCGUAUGUUUUUGCUGAGAGUAAUCAGAGGCUAAUAAUUAUUACUUGAGCUGCACUGCGCCUGUCGUACCUCCUCUGUAUUAGAACCCAAAAAAACUCUUAAAACUCCGCCCCCUUCCCUUCCCAUUCAUAAAAUACUUCGCUUCACGGAGUUUACCAGUGCUCUAUAAUUAGGAUGUAUCAGUGAGUGUUCACAGCAACUAUUUGUAAUAUUCCAGUGUUCUAUCGUAUGAUCCCACGAGACUAGAAAAAGAGUAGACGUGCAACUACUUGCUUUUACAGAGCCAAUCCUUUGCAUUGGCGAAUGAUACUGGCAAAAAAGGGUAGGAAGAGCGGUUCAUUUGAGCUAUGCAGUGCUCUUUGUACUUUUGUUAGGAGAGGUGGUGUGCUGACUUUUCCGCUUUGUGGUAUUGAGUGCCAUAACUCCUCCCAUAAUUAUAGCUAGCAUUUUUGAAUUAAAAUUUGAUGGUACACAUGACGCGUCUCCGCCCAUGGUACGAAGACGAUCCACGUUGCGCUUACGUCCAUAUGUCAAUGGUGGCAGAGGAGCAUUUUUCCCAUCAGCUAAAUUUUCAAGGAAAUUAAUAACUACAUGCAGAUAUGUUCUAGCAUUAGCUUUGGCACCUCCAUCGAGGUAUCAGCACUGCCACCGCGGUGCUUUCAUUUUAAUAUUUAAUUCACUUGGGUUCGUUAAGGUAGGAUGGUUGAACAAAGGUAGGAUGGCGGAACGAUCCAGUGUAUGAUAGGGUACGAUAACGAUGCUCACGAGUUUUUGUGCAAUGGAUAGAGUUAGUUACAUUCGUUAUACACACUGUUCUGAAUAAUGCUAAUAGAAGACUGACCACCAAGUACAUGGCAGUGUAUACGGAGGGAUUUGUUGUCAUUAAUUUAAGCGGCCUUUUAUAUUGAGAACUACUAAGUCCACAGUGUGUGAAACAUUAGAGUCAUAACUAGGUUCCAUAUCUUCUGUGCCAGUGUCAAGAGAGAGUAGAAUAAAAUGUAACUACGUAGCUGUUGACACUAAUUAAUCUCGGUACUCCGAGAAACAUAAUGAUGCUACCCUUGCUAACUACACCUACAAACAACAUAUAAUUAUAUCCAUUACCGCAACGCUCCUUGGAGGGUGAGUCGGACCGUGACUGUUAAUUAUAGGGUUAGGCAUCCCCUCUUUAAUUAGAGGAAUGCAAUCCCGCUGGUUAAAUAAUGAUUAUAAUUUCUCUAAGUACUUAGGGGUAAAGACGUGGCCUAGCCACCAGUCAUAGCCCACUAUUAAAGAACCAUACAAUCGAAAGUAAUCCGCGUGCAAAUAACCAUUGAGUAGAAAUGUUAACACUAGAUAGUAUUGUGUCCAGGAACAGCUGGAGUUGUGCAUGUGGAAAGUACCCACCGAUUGAAGUGACACACUCCCGUUAGAGACGAAAGAUGAUAGACUCUCAGAAUCAAGAGAAUACUCUGCCUGCUGUGCUGCUUCUGAAAGACGGGAUACAGCAUCUAUUCUGACAUCUGCUGAUUGGGGCUCAGGGAACUGGAUACUCUUGUCAUCCGUAGUUACUUCCGCCGUCUGCACGCCGUGGCAGACAAGCUCAUGCUCUGUUUGCACCCCAACACUUGGCAUGCUGAACGUAUUGUCAUCAUCUAUGCAUUUACAUAAUAUUAUGGUUUAAUUUGUAAUUGUUUAUUGUUGUAUUUAUAAUUAUGAACUGUCACCUCUCUCAGAGUUCAGACUUUUUUUGGCCUCUCUGGAAGCCUGUAGUUGCAUUAGGCGCUCUUGUGGUUAUUCCUAAUUCUUCAUUUUAUUACACCCAUUUUAGCUUCUGAAUUGGAAAUCCUUGUACCUGGCAUACGAUUUUUAUUGUUCCAUUACGCCACCACCUCAUCCCAGCUUUUAUUUGUGGUCCUGGAAGACAUACUAGCUAGCUAUAAUGUGGUCUACAAACUUUGUAUUACUGCUGCACCGUACGGUAGUAAGUACAAUAUACAUGUGAGCGCAGCCAGAGAUACGCACACACAGUGAUUGUAAACAUUGCACGUGUGCAAUUAUUGCAGCCAUACUAUCUGCAUUCUUGUGGUUAGCUUGUUUUUUAUAGUGGUUCGGCAUUCUCCACGUACAUAAAAACUAAAAACA